GUAGGUGGCAAGCGUUGUCCGGAAUUAUUGGGCGUAAAGCGCGCGCAGGCGGUUCUUUUAAGUCUGAUGUGAAAGCCCACGGGCUCAACCGUGGAGGGUCAUUGGAAACUGGAGAACUUGAGUACAGAAGAGGAAAGCGGAAUUCCACGUGUAGCGGUGAAAUGCGUAGAGAUGUGGAGGAACACCAGUGGCGAAGGCGGCUUUCUGGUCUGUAACUGACGCUGAGGCGCGAAAGCGUGGGGAGCAAACAGGAUUAGAUACCCUGGUAGUCCACGCCGUAAACGAUGAGUGCUAAGUGUUAGGGGGUUUCCGCCCCUUAGUGCUGCAGCUAACGCAUUAAGCACUCCGCCUGGGGAGUACGGCCGCAAAGGCUG
rnacentral:rRNA from 1 species